rnacentral:piRNA from 1 species
UAAAAAAAGGCAGCAGGUGUCCAAGG